UAUAAAUAGUUUAAAUAAAAUAUUGAUUUGUGGAGUCAAAGAAUUUUUGUGUAAAAUUUAUAUAU
rnacentral:tRNA from 1 species